UACACCAGCAGAUUAGGAUCUGGUUAAUUAGUUUCUCUUGAGGGCAGGCUGUGUUAUGGAGAACAGAGUGCUCCCGCAUGUUGCAAAGUGGUUCCUUUUCCCCUCCGUCUCUGGGAAGACUGAGGGGAUUUUUCUCCAAUAUUUACGUGAGUGCCUGCUUGAGCUCCUGGAGCUAAAACUUGCAAACUUGUGGAGGUACCCUCCUACGACUGGGUUCCACUGGAGUUUUUAACCCUCAGAGUUGUCCACACUAAACCUCCAGCAAUUAGCAAUGACAAUUCAGUUUGUCCUACUCCUGCACUGCCGAUGGCCACUCCUGAGUCUCUGCUCUGAAUUCAUCUGCUUGGGUGCUGAUAUAGGUUGUUGGAUUUAAUCACGGUAUUUUGGAAAAAACAAGUGGAGCAGACUGGAGUCCUUUGAAGAACUUAAUGCCUUGUAGCUGGGAAGUUUGUAGAUGGUGGCAACAAGGAGAGACAAUGCAUGCUUCUAAAAGUGGUGAUGACCAUAUUUUGAGGAGAGAAGAUCUUCGAAGGCAAGAUUAAGACUGAAUCUAUUCUCAGCAUUUCCAAGGUCUACAAUGCAAUUGGUUGUAAAAAGUGGAAACCAAUUCUGAUUUGCAUAAGCCAAAGGUGCCUUAGAAUUCAGCUGGAGAGAUAUAAAGAUAUGAAUUCUGAUACGAGCUAAUUUGAGCUGCCACAAUUUAAGAAGUAACAUCAGUCUACCAAUAACACUGUUCAACUUUCAAUGAUCUCUGUAUGAACUGAGACUAAUUGUAUCAGGGACAAACUUCGAGCCUAGCUCAGUCCACAAAUGAUUACGUAAAUAACGGAUGACAUCAUGAUCCGGACCAAUCACGUCACUUCUUUCAAAGUCCGUCAAUGAUUGGUCACUGCACAUCUGUUAUUUGGUUCACCCACAGACAGGAGAGGGUAUACCUGAGUUGCCUCCUUGUCUCCCAGUGAUAACCCGUGUGACAUUUUACAAAAAUGGAUAAUCAAAAGAGGAAAUGGGCCAACAAGGAUCGAAGUGCAGCGAACAAAGGAAGAAUGAUAAUGCAGGAGGUGAAAUAUGAAUCGGGCAUAAAUGGAGGUAUAGAAGAAAUAGCUGACCACGAGAAUGUUGAUAUGGCCCCGGUUAGAGAUAAUCUAGAUGGGUAGCCAGAAGAACUUAGCAAGGGGGAUCUUGACUUCAAUUAAGAAAGUGGUUGUGACAAAAAAGGAUGAAGACGUCCCAGAGAAGUGAUGCUGGCAAAACACUUCAUAUUAAAGGAGCUCCUGAAGAUACUUUGCAUUAUUGAAAGCACAAAAGAUAAAAUGACGCAAGCAUAUCCAAACUUAGAAAGAAGUCUGACAAUUCUUCAAGACUUAGAAAAAAUGGUAGUUCCAGAUCCUGUUAUGGGACAAGAAGGCGGCAAGCGCUGUUCAAACAACUGCUUAAUAAGUGUUUUUACAGAAACAUGGGACACCACUUCUCAAUAUUUCUAAUGAUUUAAAUCACAGUUGGAUCCCAGCCUUUCCAGGAUGGCAAAUCUGAAAACCAGAAGAUGCAUUAGUAAGUGAAGUGGGAUGGUGUGAUACAACCACAGUCUCCAUGGACAUGUAAUUGCUUGCUGGAAAGGGUCAGCCCAGUAAUACAAUGGACAUGAGGGCGUAGCUCAAUUCAGCAUGGCCAGCACAAAAGUGGGCAACCCAUUUUCUAGACCUGAGUCCUUUAUUAGCAAUUUUCCUGUCCUUUCCAAAGCCCUCGUCAUUACCAUUACUUUUGUUUAUGUAAAUUUAGGGCUAUGAAAGUUCAGCUGUAACUCAUAUUAUUAUGUGAAUUCCAACUGAUAGUUAUGUGCUUUUCAUGUAAACUCAAUGGUUCUUCUGAAGGUAAUUCUUCAGAGUGAAAUAAUUCUUAUCCAGGAACCUCAUUGUGCUCUUCAGAUUAAACAUUUUCUUAGUUUUUAUAGCUACAAACUCUAGAAACAUGAUGGCAUUUUUCUUCCAAGAGCUAGAAAGAUGUAAUAAGAAACCAAAGCACGUUUAGGCGAUGAUGGUGCUAGCAGCUGGAUUAUGUCAAAAUUCCUGCAUUUAUUACUUCAGAUUUACCAACAAUUAUGGACAUUUGUUAAACCAGCUUUCAGAGUUUGAACAUAUUUUACUUCUGUAAUCAAGUACACUCCAAAUAGAUGGAUUAAGAAAAUAAGACUAUUCACUUGUGAAUGACAGUUAGGGGCAAUUGAGGGACAAGUGAGUGUGCAAGGUAUGAAGGCUGCUAAAACCUCCUUGUCUACUACGUUUUGGAGCAGAAGAAGCAGCACUAUUACAAUUUUCUGACUAGAAGGAAUCAUCUUCAUUACUGUAGGAGGUGUAGUGCCAGAUGAGGACAAAGGACACAUGACGUCAGCUCUUGUUUUCACAUUGUCUUCUGGAGUUCAGUGUCCUCUCAUUAACACAAGAGAUUUGGAGUAGAUUGUCUUCAAGAGGUGUGCUUUAUCUGUAAUUCUGUGCUUCUGGGCCUUCUCGCCAAUUUAGGAGAAUGCUAGUCAUAUUUCUAAAAUAGUAAAUCUUGCAAUUGCAUGAUGCAUCAGAGAAAAUUAAAAGAAGAGAGAGAAACUCUGUUAUAAGAGUCAAAACCAAGCCCCUCUGUAAUCGUACAGUAUCCCCUUGGUGGUGUACUUAUGCUUAGGAAUGUUUGCGAUGGGAGCUCUAAGCAUCUUUACUUAAGAUCAAGGUCAAUGGUGGCCACAGUGCAUCAGUUUUUCUGAGUUACUCUUAGUACUAAGCAGUCAACUCCACAGGUUAUUUUGUGUGCCUGAGAAUCCUUCACAUCUCAGAGCCUUGGCGUUCCUUAGAGCCACUUGAUACUUUUGCCUCAGUUUCUCAAGUUCAGUCAUUAUACAGUUAGUUAUGCUGGAAGAUGCGCUUGGCAUACAGACAGUACGUCACUCACUGCAAUAUGACCAGUUUAGCUUUAAUGGAAGAGUUGAUAACAGUUGGUUUCAACAAGGAUGCAAUAAGAUUGGUUCAACUGGGUCUUAUGUUGGAAGACUGAGCAGAAAGCGAACUUCUCUUUACUUUGCGGUUUUUAAUGUGUCCUUUUCUUUAAACCUCUGAUCUCUGAGACUAAGCAUUUGUUUUAUUGUUGCAUAAUAUCUUGCUUUCUUUGCUUUUUCAUGUAAAUGCUAUCAUCCUGACCUUUUUUUCAGAAUCAUUAGUUGUGUGUUACUUAUCCUGAACAUAUUUUUGAGUUGUAUUUAAAUCGCGUGAUAAAAGAAUUUCUUAGCCCUCUAUCUCUAAGCUUUUGCCAAAUGUCCUCCUCAGAUCCUCAGAUUACUGAAGAAUUCAAAUACGCAAUCAGAGAUCUGUUCUUUAGAAAGUAGGCCUCAAAUAUGUGAGUCACAAGAGGAGAAAGUAGAAUCACGAACUCAUCCCCAGACACCUAUCAAAGGUGAAGAAAAACAGGACUAACUUGUAUUAACAUCCUGGCCAAAAAGAUUCCAGAGGAGGUUACUCAGUGUCUGCCAAGACCGUAGAGCUUCAUCGCAUGUUCCACGAGGAACACUUAAAAUUCGAUCUGAAGGAAAUUUUAAUAUGAUUGUAGCUACAGAACAAAUAUUUUAUACCUCCAAGAAUAAUAUAUUUUUUUUGGUAAGUUGACAUAUCCUGGCCUGCUUUCCUGCAUGAAGAAGCUCAAGUUUCAGUACAUUAAAUUUAUGAUGCCACUUGGGCCUGCCAAGGAAACUUAAGAAACAGACACAUGAUGUUCUAAGCUGAAAUCUUGUUUUUAAAACCAAUCCCAGUUUGUGUAAAACUCAGCUAUGUCCUUUGGUUUAAAAAAAAGAAAGAUGAUUACUCAGGAUUGACCCGCUUUUCCAGAUCAGGGAGCUGAGGUCCCAUUUAUAGUUGGCUGAGAAUAUAUAAUUUUAUCCAUUGCAAGUUGGAUUUCAAGUUUUCCCAAUUGGAGGUUUCAUUAAGCUUCCUGUCCCAUGAGUUGAAUUCCAUGUCUAUUUCUUACUUUCUUGCCAACUACAGCAACCUUGAAAUAUUUGCCUAUUAUAAAAUUAUGCUUUGCGUAACAAUUCCCAAAGAAAACCAAAUUUAAACUUAGUCAGUCAUCUUUUUUCAUCUCUGUUUUUAUCAAGAAUAUCCUCACCUUGGUAGAAAUAGUGAAUUUCAUUUGGGUCAUAGUACCAAUACAAGACCCCAAGACUGGGAAAUUUUUGCUGGUAUAUCUGAAGCAAAUGCUGCCAGACUUCUGGGAUCCCGAGUCAUAUACUGUGGAAUGUCUUUUGUUUCUCAUUGUGCAGCCUCAGAAGCCCUGGGGGGUAUAUAAUUUUUAUGUACUGAAAAGCCUUAAGAGCUAGAAAGUAUUGCAAAAGUGAAAGUUACGAGGCCUGGAGGAAAGAAUAGAAAAGGACUAAAUAAAACAUUUUUCUUUUGCUAGGUAUCUAGAGGGAUUAAGACAGAAAUAUCGACACCACAGGAAAAGAUAUAUGCAUCAAUGCAUGACACUUCAGAUUAAGAGAACUCCUGGGUUAUUUGAGCUCUUGGGUAUUUUCUCGAGAGUCUGACUGAAUUGGAGGUCUCAUCUGAAAAAAGGAAAAUCAAACCCUACUCUUACAACAAAUAAUUUUAUUGUUGUUUGUUGCUAAGUAAGGGUCUAGCACAGUGUCUGACACAAUAGUAAGUGCCUUUAAAAAAAAUCUAUAGAAUGAAUGAAUAAGUAUACCCAUUAGGGAAACACAGUAUAAUUAGAAACAGUCAAAACUAAUAUUGUUAAGAUUUCUUUUAUUCAAUAUUUUUUUUUCAGGUAAUGUCAGCUUUACCCAUUCAUUGUAAAGUUCACUCAACAUUUCUCAUAAUGCUUUACCAUUCAAUGAUGACCUUUGCCUGAAAUGUUAUUUUUUUUAGGGUUUGGAAAAUACUAAUUUUUACGAAUUUUGUAAUUUCUUUUACAUUUAUUAGCUAUAAUUUUUUUGCGUGGUGAAACUUUUUCCAUUGGUCGGUUAUUUUUUCCUGUUCCUUCAACAGUACCACACUGUUAAUUACUGUGAUUUUGUAAUAUGUCUUUGUAUCUGGUAGUAACGUCCUCUUCUUUCUCUUCUUUACGGAAAUGAUCAUAUCUGUUCAUGGAUGUUAUUUUUCUAUAUCCAUUUUGAAUUAGUUUGACAAGUUUUCCCUGAGAUCCAGCUGGAUAUUUAUCUGGAAUUGCAUUGAAUAUAUAGAUUAACUUGUGGGGAAAUUAUUGACAUUACAUUAAAAUGCUAAGUUAUCCUGUCUAUUAACAUAAUAUAUCAUUUAUUUGUUUAUCAGGUCUUCUUUAGUGAUGUUCCAACAGAAUUUUACAUUUUGGCUGUAAAGGCCAUGUGCAUUUUCAGUGAGGCUGAUUUCUAGAUGAUUAAUAAUACUUGUUACUCUGUAGAUGGUAUUGAAUUUUCUACUAUAUUUUAUUUACUGGUUAAAGAUGAUGUAAAGUUGUGAUUCUUAGUCUAUCUGAAAAUAAAUUAUUUGGAUAACUUUUUAAAAAUAGGGAUGCUCAGAUCCCAUCCCUGAUGAAUUCAAUCGGAAUAGAGUCUCCAUUAAAGUGCUUAUGUGUUUGUGAUUGUUAUAGCUCUUUGAUAUGUUAUACCUUUUUUUUUUUUUUUUGGCUGAGGAGGAUUGGCCCUGAGUGAACAUCUGUUGCCAAUCUUCCUCUUUUUUCUUGAGGAAGAUUUUCCCUGAGCUAGCAUCUGUACCAAUCUACCUGCAUUUUGUAUGUGGGUUGCUGCCACAGCAUGGCCGCUAAUGAGUGGUGUAGAUCUGUACUUGGGGACCAAACCUGGGCCAAUGAAGUGGAGCGUUCCAAACUUAACCACUAGGCCACGGGGCCAGCCCCAAUAUGUUGUGCCUUUUGACAGUGUAUAAUAUUCUUAUUGUCCCUUAUGUUGAUUUUUGCUUUAAAUUUUAUUUUGUCUUAUGUUAAUAUUGUUACAUUCAUGUUUUUAAUCUCCAUAUUUCUGAUAUAUAUUUUCAUACUGCCC
ensembl:lncRNA